GGAUGUGAGGGUGACUAGGCUGUGAUAUUCGCUACCUCGUUGAUCACCAGGGUUGAUUUGGCUGAUAUGACUGGUUAGGUGGAGGCCAUCAUUCUCUCUCAUCACUCCAUGUGUGUCUCUCUUGAAGCUGUGCACUUGUUUGAAGAGAAUGACCUCACUCAAAGAUGAAGACCAUUUUUCAGUCAAGGACAUAUGAGUAGCUGUGCUCCCCUGCUAGAACCUCCAAAGAUGUAAUAUUUGCACAGUAGGAUGUGAUUCAGUGAUGAAGAAGAAAUGUGCUACCAAGUUACAAGUCAGACAUGAAUUU
ensembl:misc_RNA 7SK 7SK RNA